rnacentral:rRNA from 1 species
UACGUAGGGGGCAAGCGUUGUCCGGAAUCACUGGGCGUAAAGCGCACGUAGGCGGAUUUGUAAGUCAGGGGUGAAAUCCCGGGGCUCAACCUCGGAACUGCCUUUGAUACUGCAAAUCUUGAGUCCGGAAGAGGUGAGUGGAAUUCCUAGUGUAGAGGUGAAAUUCGUAGAUAUUAGGAAGAACACCAGUGGCGAAGGCGGCUCACUGGUCCGGUACUGACGCUGAGGUGCGAAAGCGUGGGGAGCAAACAGG